AGCGAACGCUGGCGGCAUGCCUAACACAUGCAAGUCGAACGAACUCUUCGGAGUUAGUGGCGGACGUGUGAGUAACACGUGGGAACGUGCCUUUUGGUUCGGUAUACCUCACGGAAACUUGUGCUAAUACCGCAUGUGCCCUUCGGGGGAAAGAUUUAUCGCCAUUUGAGCGGCCCGCGUCUGAUUAGCUAGUUGGUGAGGUAACGGCUCACCAAGGCGACGAUCAGUAGCUGGUCUGAGAGGAUGACCAGCCACACUGGGACUGAGACACGGCCCAGACUCCGACGGGAGGCAGCAGUGGGGAAUCUUGCGGAAUGGGCGAAAGCCUGACGCAGCCAUGCCGCGUGAAUGAUGAAGGUCUUAGGAUUGUAAAAUUCUUUCACCGGGGACGAUAAUGACGGUACCCGGAGAAGAAGCCCCGGCUAACUUCGUG
rnacentral:rRNA from 1 species